UGGCCCUGAAUGAGUUUCAGCAGUGGCUCUGUGACCUCUACCCUCAAACUAGGCUGGUACUACUCGCCAGCCACAUGUCUUGGUGCUUAGGAGCCCCACAGCUGGGACUCAUGGGAAGUGCUGGGCUCAUCUUCCAGGAAGGGCCCUGGGGAGGAACCGAUAGCAGGUCUACGAGCUUUGAGAGGACCAGGAAUUGAGCGGCUGGAUGGAAAUGCUGAUUAGCAACAGUCAGCAGCUUUGACUGCGUCCUACUUGAGAGCUGCCUCCGUGCUCACCCAGGCACACCCAGGGGCAUUGCCAGGAGUGCCUGUCAGUGGGAGCAGGGCUGUGGCUUGGGCAUUGCAUUGGUUUAAAUCAAGUGUUUCAUCUUCUCCCUCACUGUGAUCGUGGCACCAUGUCUUUCACUGCAGACACUUAAGAUGCUACUUGGGGCUGCACGGUGGCAGUACCAGUGCCCACAAGAAGGAGGGUUUGGGGCCAAAGACCUUCCAAUACCGUCCCAGGAAGACACGAUAACAGCAGAACCUCAACAGCUGCUCGGUGGCAGAGCUCUGGUGGGAGAGGACCUCAGGGCUUGGUGUCUGCCUCCUUUUGGCAUUGGACUCCUUUCCCUCUCGCUACUUGGGGAUUGAAAUGUCUCAAGGUCCAGCUUGUAAUAAAAUGUUCAACUUGUUUCUGGCAUUGUCCAGCAGGGCCAGCCCACUGCAGGGGAGUCUGGCAGGGUGGAGCAGGGGCUCCGGCACCCUUCAGACAGGAGCAGCCGAGGCAGCGGGAGACACCAACACUGCCACUGAAGAUGCUUCUCGAGGCUGUACUCCGGCAGUUCCCGCGUCCCGCCGGGAGCACGGACUGUGACCCGCGGCCCCCAGCUCCCUCCCGGACCUUGUCUGCAGGACGUUGAGCCCGGAGAACUGGAUGUGGGGCUGCAGGGUGUAGGGCAGAAAAUGUACACCUGAAAGCUACUCCCCCUGCUCUGCCCCCUUCCUCUCCAGCCCUCCCCAGCCCCCCCGCCUCUCCUCUCCCCCUAUAUAUUGUGUUAGGUUAGGUUAAGUGAUAUUAUAGAGUUUUAUUUCAAAUUAUA